CCUACGGGUGGCAGCAGUGAGGAAUAUUGGUCAAUGGACGAGAGUCUGAACCAGCCAAGUAGCGUGAAGGAUGACUGCCCUAUGGGUUGUAAACUUCUUUUAUCAAGGAAUAAAACGAGGCACGUGUGCCUUUUUGCAUGUACUUUAUGAAUAAGGAUCGGCUAACUCCGUGCCAGCAGCCGCGGUAAUACGGAGGAUCCGAGCGUUAUCCGGAUUUAUUGGGUUUAAAGGGAGCGUAGAUGGGUUGGUAAGUCAGGGGUGAAAGUUCGCGGCUCAACCGUAACAUUGCAGUUGAUACUGGCGGUCUAGAGUACAGUUGAGGUAGGCGGAAUGCGUGGUGUAGCGGUGAAAUGCUUAGAUAUCACGAAGAACCCCGAUUGCGAAGGCAGCGUAC
rnacentral:rRNA from 1 species